AUGAAGCCGGAAUUGCUAGUAAUGGCAGGUCAGCAUACUGCCGUGAAUACGUUCCCGGGCCUUGUACACACCGCCCGUCACACCAUGAGAGUCGGGAACACCCGAAGUCCGUAGCCUAACCGCGGAGGGGGCGCGGCCGAAGGUGGGUUCGAUAAUUGGGGUGAAGUCGUAACAAGGUACC
rnacentral:rRNA from 1 species